ensembl:lncRNA
CACAAAUAAAUGUAAAGAGAUUCACAAAAAAAUAUAAAACUCACAAAUAAAUAAAAUGAGAUUUGCAAAUAAAAAAAUAUAUAUUUACAAAUGUGUUUAAUGUCACAAACACAACUUUACCUGGCAUUUAUUUGUGAACCGCUGUCUGUGCAUUUAUAAAUUACUGCACGCAUUUGUGGAUCGCUUCCUGUGCAUUUGUGGAUUUGAAACACUUCUAGCGUCGACGUGCAGAUAAAUCCACAAAUAAGUGGACUCCACCCACCGUCUACUUAACCCAAUCAGACAACGCCCAUGUUGCACUGACCAAUCGCAGCACGCUCUCUCUCCAACCAAUCACGUUUUGCCUAACAACCAGGGCGGGAUCAGACACAUGAACGCGAGUCACUCGCUACAGUCUCUUCAACAUGGCCGAUCAAGAGGAGUAAAGACAGGUGAGUGAUGCUAACACAGUAAUUAACUGAAGUUUUACCAGGUUCUUGAUAUGUCAUCAUUUGUCAUAACUAGUGAGGUAGUUUGACAAUUUACACCAUGAUUUAAUAAGUUAUUAUUUGCUCUCAAGCACCAUUUCGAAGACUGUCGCAUUUGUCUGCCACAUACAUCAAGGGUGUCUUAAUUCUAAAAUGGACCAUUAUUCAUUUUACUACAGACCAGCUACAAAAGCUUACAUCAUUUUGGACUGGAUGGGAAGUCCCAUCCAAGAAUCUCCAGGUAAAUGUUUGGAAUGGAAGAUACUUCAAGGCUUCUACCUGCAGCAGGACCCUGAUGAUACCAGCUGAAAUAACCACAAUGGAUAACUUUGCAUCUACAUUGCAAGCUUGUGCUAACACAUCCUCCACUGGAUUUGGACUCAUUUAAUUCUGGACACUGGUUCUAUGUAAUUUUUUUUUCUAUGUACAAGUAAUAAUAAUAAAUAAAGUACUUCAAUAACAUUUUAAAAUAAAUUUAAUUAUUUUACAUGUCUUAAAAGGUUGUUUCCACAAGUUUUACUUAAGAUACAACUAUAUAUACACAUUUACAACCUUGCUGUCAAAAUUAGAGCAGCAGAAAUAAACCUUCAAAUAUCCCUUUCUUCGAUCAAAGUCUGUACAUAUGUGAGAGUCUUGAGGUAUACAUCUACUCCAAAUGAAUCAGACACUUGCAGUGGGUCAAUUUGCUCAUUUGUGAGUUGUGGCCUGUGAAUUACAGGCACGUUGACUGCAAAGUGAACAUGGUCAGCAUCUCCACCAUCUUGUUCAACUGCCACUGAGUCUGAAUAUUCCAUCUAAAGGUAAACAAAUACAUCAUUUUAAAUAUGGGGGGUUAAUCUAACAGAGCAAAACCAAUAAAGCAUUGUAAGAAGAAAUAAUUACCUCAGGGUUAAUUAUUGGAUUCUGUCUCUGGCCAAACACAUUCUCUCAUCCAACGAACGAUAGUUGUAUGAGUGACACCUAAAAUGUUACUGAUGUUUUCCUGGGGUAAUCCAAGCUUCAGAAAGUGGAUUAGUCUGUCAUUUGCUGCCUCACUGUCCUAAAAUGCAUAAUAACAAACACAGAACAUUUUGAUCAAUGAAAUAAACCUUGUUCAUAAUGAAAUAUUAGUCUAAUUGGUAAAUACAGCACAGUACUUUAGACUUUUUUAUUUUUAGCAGAUAGCCAAUAUUCCAACAAUAUUUUUAAAUGUAACAUGCUACAUGACCAAGUGGUCAUUUAAUUACCUUAAAAAAAAAAAAAAAUCAUAACACAGACGGACGGAUGGGUUCAGAAAACACCAGAGAGGUAGAAAACUGGGAAACACUAGUUAAAUUACAAAUAACGUUAUAGUUUUAUUUUGGAUGUUACUACAGUAAUGAGCAUUAUAUAUAAUAGUAAUUAAUGGAGCGGCUUGGCCCUGGUGUCAGAUCCCUGGCGAUGAUCUGCACUAAUGCCCGAGCAGCACUUUCACCUUGUGCAGAAAGGCCCUGAACAAACAGUAAGUAAACACAAACUGCAGCCAAAUAUUUAACUGAACAGACUGUAGUUUAAAGGUGCAUGGAGUAACCGUUCCAGUUAUAUACAAGGGAACAUAAUAAUGAGGAAAGCCAACUUUUCACUAGUGAUGGGAAGUCAGGUUCUUUUUUCGAAAACUGGUUCUUUUCGACAGUUAAUUUCAAUUAACAUGUCAUGCAUUACAGGCAACGUAACAACAACUUAUGACCCUCAGUUCACACAUACUCGUAGUAUCUGAGACGAUGCCACUGCGGGGGGUGACAAGGGGGAAUAAAACCGAGUCUCAUGUCAUAUGCAGUGGAAGAUCUUACCCCAAACGUAUAUCUGUAUAAUUAGGGCAGUUGGCAACCAGUUGGCACAUCGAAUCUACCCGCAGCUUCACAUAUUCUUCAUCUUGCACUCAAUAUUAAUUAAUAGUUUAUUUAAUCUAAUAAACU